UACGGGGGGGCAAGCGUUGUUCGGAAUUACUGGGCGUAAAGGGCUCGUAGGCGGCCAACUAAGUCGGAUGUGAAAUCCCCAGGCUUAACCUGGGAACUGCAUCCGAUACUGGAUGGCUUGAAUUCGGGAGAGGGUGCAGAAUUCCAGGUGUAGCGGUGAAAUGCGUAGAUAUCUGGAGGAAUACCGGUGGCGAAGGCGGCAUCUGGACCGAGAUUGACGCUGAUGAGCGAAAGCUAGGGGAGCAACGGGGAUUAAGAAACCCCUGGUACGUCC
rnacentral:rRNA from 1 species